AGUCCUAAGGGUCACCCAGCAACACUGUGCUCACCGUUGAUAGAUUGAGGUAUCUAUCAAACUAGUGGGUCUACCAUCAAGUCCCAGAAGGUCAACCCUACUGGAAGAGAAAAGGGUCAGAGACAACUGUGACAUCCUCAGGAAAAAAAAACAUGCGGAAACCCACAGAACUUUGCUCUACUUCAGAAAUCAGCAGCUUCUGAUUGGAAUUCUUGGUCUGUUUGCAGAAGAGUAUAUCUCACAUGUGCAUCUGCAAGCCUGGGAGAGAUUUCCUCCCCUCACUUCCCAGUGCACCUCAAUACGCCAAAAUCGACUAGGGGCUGUCAUCGUCACCUGUAGAAAGGGGGCUGCUCAGGGAAGGGAAGGCUGUCACAGAUGAGCGCUCCUCCGGGUGGAUGGUGGCUAUCGGCGCCCGAGAAAUGCCAGGCAUCCUCCCUCAGAGGAUUUGCUCCGCCUGGAAAGGGGCAUGGUGAUGACAGGUGCAGGAUUCUCCUCCAAGGUGGAUUCCAGCUACCCCAACACAUAUUGGACCUCAAGCAUUCAGGGAUGUGGCUUCCUCUGUUUGCAGAAAGUCCAAUGACCCAGCUUUGGCAGCAUGCACCCUUCGAUAGCUCAGCUGGUAGAGCGGAGGACUGUAGGCUGUACAGAUAUUUGUGGACAUCUUUAGGUCGCUGGUUCGAUUCCGGCUCGAAGGAAGUGCCUGAUAUUUUUGCACUCGAUGCUGCCUGGCCACACCUGUGCAUGGUUAAAAGCCUUGCAGCCUCCAAGUAGUAACCACACUCUCCCAGGCAAAACACCCUUGAAGUCUUUCCCCAUCACCUAGCUCCCCACGCCUUGCUUUGUGACCCAGCCAAUCCCCCUAUUCGUGCUGCCAAAGCUGGGCCAUUUGACUUUCUGCAAGAAACAUAAGACCUGACCUCGAAUUGCAACAUAUUCCUAACCUUAUUAGGUAAAAGGACAGUGGAUAAAUGUCAGUCUUUUUCAGAUGGAAAUCAAGAGGUGUAAUCCUUUCAAGUCCACCCUUUGCCUGCCAGUCCCACAUCAUAAACAAACUGAAAUACCUUGUGACAUUCUGAGUCAAUCUCCUUGUUUAGUAUCAGUG